UACACCACUGCACUUCAGCCUGAGUGACAGAGUGGGACCCUGUCUCUUAAAAACAACAACAAAAACCUCAAAACCUUUAAUGGGUGCAUAGGCGUUUAUAAGAUAUAAUGAGUAUACAGAUUAAAGUAGAACACCAAGAAUGAUUUCUCAGAUAAAUUAUUUGUUGAAGAAUAAUCAUUUGGCAAAUAGUUUCUCCCUUAUAAUAAAACUAGUUGAUAAAUUCAUUUUUAUCUUAUUAAGGACAAGAAAAUGAUAGACCUUAUUUGGAAAUGGAAGACCAGACCUGUAACAGAUCAUCAGUGAGGGGAUGACAUGUGAAGGAGGCCAUCAGGCAGUGCUGCCUUUGCCCGUAACUCAUCAGAUGUGAUGCAUUCAGGCUGCAGCGUCACUUGGGUUUACCACUGCGAGACGAGGAGGCAACACAACAACAUUCUUUGCUGUCUGCAGGUGAACUGAGUAACAGAUCUGCUUUGACCAGUCACUAGUAGCCUUGGAAAGAAAGACAGAGUCUUACGCUGUUGCCCAAGCUGGAGUGCAGUGAUGCAACCAUAGCUGACUGUAGACUUGAACUGCCUGGCUCAAGGGAUCCUUCUGCCUUAGCCUUCCAAGUGGCUAGGACUACAGG